GCCUGAGUGGCUCAGUCAGUUAAGCAUCUGACUUCAACUCAGGUCACGAUCUCGCGGUUCGUGAGUUCGAGCCCCUCAUCGGGCU
rnacentral:tRNA from 1 species